GGGGGAGGUUCCAUGGUAGAGCGCGUGCUUAGCAUGCACAAGGUCCUGGGUUCAAUCCCCAGUCCCUCCA
rnacentral:tRNA from 1 species